rnacentral:tRNA from 1 species
UGGGAUAUAGCUCAGUGGUAAAGCCAUUGCCUCACAUGCAUGGAGCCCUGGGUUCAAUCCCAGUUCCAA